rnacentral:pre_miRNA from 1 species
UCUCAUGGAGCAAAGAAAGUAGUUUCUUGAGAUGGAAUCUACUCCUUGUGAAAAGACUGUGAA